GAUCAUGGCUCAGAUUGAACGCUGGCGGCAGGCCUAACACAUGCAAGUCGAACGGUAACAGGAAGAAGCUUGCUUCUUUGCUGACGAGUGGCGGACGGGUGAGUAAUGUCUGGGGAACUGCCUGAUGGAGGGGGAUAACUACUGGAAACGGUAGCUAAUACCGCAUAAUGUCGCAAGACCAAAGAGGGGGGACCUUCGGGCCUCUUGCCAUCGGAUGUGCCCAGGUGGGAUUAGCUAGUAGGG
rnacentral:rRNA from 1 species